ensembl:lincRNA 1700025K24Rik RIKEN cDNA 1700025K24 gene
AGCUUCCUCUGAGACCCUGAGAUCCUAGUGUGACCAAGCUCCUGUUAUCCGAGGAUCCUUAAGUCCUAGGAUCUUGGCCAUGUUACAGCACCUGGAAAGUGGUGUCUCCUCUGGGGACCAUGGGGCUCUCUGAUGUGUUUGAAACCAAGUCCACACCUAUAUGCCCAAUCCUAAAUCUGUUCUUUACUUCCUGGUCACUGCUCUAUCUGCCUCACUGGAGGUCUGCUGCCACCCAGGACUACCAGACUUGAACUGAAACGUCAGGCAGACAUGGGCACAACACAGCUAUUGGUGGCAUGUAAGAAGAAAGAAGGAGUCAUUGGAACCAGAUUCACUCAGUUCUAAGAUCUCAAGAAAUAUACUGAACCUACUGGUACUCAGAGAAAUCCUAAUUCAUAGACUGCCUUCUCAGGAGGACCCCCCCCCCAUACCAAAGGCAUUGUGUAUGGAGCCUUCCCAGAAAGAUCCCUAAGAUAUAAAAUCUCUGAAAAAAAAAAUCCCAGAUCAAAUUGUAACAGGUCAUUUCUACCUGGCCAUGCUUUAGUAAGCAAAUGAUUACAUGGCUCUGGAGAAAGGUGCUACAGAAGGUAGACCUUUCUAGAACAGCCUACACUGGUACAGGUAAAAAAAUGAUACUCAGGAAGUGGGAUGGACAUAUCUACUUGGUAUCUUACAGAACAAAAUACAGAAUUCAUCGUAAAGCCUUGAGAUUGAAGAAUAAAAUAUCAAUUUAUGUUAAUUGC